rnacentral:tRNA from 1 species
GCGGACUUGGCAUAUCGGUUGUGUUUCAGCCUUCCAAGCUGACCAGACGGGUUCGACUCCCGUAGUCCGCUCCA